rnacentral:rRNA from 1 species
UUCCUACGGGAGGCAGCAGUGGGGAAUAUUGGACAAUGGGGGAAACCCUGAUNCNGCCAUGCCGCGUGUGUGAAGAAGGCCUUUUGGUUGUAAAGCACUUUAAGCAGUGAAGAAGACUCUUCGGUUAAUACCCGGAGACGAUGACAUUAGCUGCAGAAUAAGCACCGGCUAACUUUGUGCCAGCAGCCGCGGUAAUACAGAGGGUGCAAGCGUUAAUUGGAAUUACUGGGCGUAAAGCGAGCGUAGGUGGCUUGAUAAGUCAGAUGUGAAAUCCCCGGGCUUAACCUGGGAACUGCAUUUGAAACUGUUAGGCUAGAGUAGGUGAGAGGGAAGUAGAAUUUCAGGUGUAGCGGUGAAAUGUGUAGAGAUUUGAAGGAAUACCGAUGGCGAAGGCAGCUUCCUGGCAUCAUACUGACANUGAGGCUNGAAAGCGUGGGUA